GACGAACGCUGGCGGCGCGCCUAACACAUGCAAGUCGAACGGUGAACCGGGCUUCGGCCCGGGGAUCAGUAGCGAACGGGUGCGUAACACGUGGGCAACCUGCCCCCGACCCUGGGAUAACCCCGGGAAACCGGAGCUAAUACCGGAUACUCUCCUCCGACCGCUUGGUCGAGGGAGGAAAGGUCCGCCGGUCGGGGAUGGGCCCGCGGCCUAUCAGCUUGUUGGUGGGGUAACGGCCUACCAAGGCGACGACGGGUAGCUGGUCUGAGAGGACGACCAGCCACACUGGGACUGAGACACGGCCCAGACUCCUACGGGAGGCAGCAGUGGGGAAUCUUGCGCAUUGGGCGAAAGCCUGACGCAGCGACGCCGCGUGGGGGACGAAGGCCUUUCAGGUCGUAAACCCCUUUCGGCAGGGACGAAGCGAUCUCGUGACGGUACCUGCAGAAGAAGCCUCGGCUAACUACGUGCCAGCCGCCGCGGUAACAC
rnacentral:rRNA from 1 species